rnacentral:misc_RNA from 1 species
GAUGAAGAACGCAGCGAAAUGCGAUACGUAAUGUGAAUUGCAGAAUUCAGUGAAUCAUCGAGUCUUUGAACGCACAUUGCGCCCCCUGGUAUUCCGGGGGGCAUGCCUGUCCGAGCGUCAUUGCUGACCUCAAGCACGGCUUGUGUGUUGGGCCUCCGUCCUCCUCCCGGGGGACGGGCCCGAAAGGCAGCGGCGGCACCGCGUCCGGUCCUCGAGCGUAUGGGGCUUCGUCACCCGCUCUUGUAGGCCCGGCCGGCGCUUGCCGACACAUCAAUCUUUUUUCCAGGUUGACCUCGGAUCAGGUAGGGAUACCCGCUGAACUUAAGCAUAUCAAUAAGCGGAGGA